rnacentral:rRNA from 1 species
CAGCGCCACGAGUGGCGAUCACGAUUAUUGGGCCUAAAGCGUCCGUAGCUGGACAGGCACAUCUUUCGUGAAAUCUAUCAGCCUAACUGAUGGGCAUGCGGAAGACACGACCUGUCUAGGGAGUGGGAGGAGUCAGAGGUAUUCAAGGGGGAUCGGUAAAAUGAUAUAAUCCCUUGAGGACCACCGAUAGCGAAGGCAUCUGACCAGAACACGUCCGACAGUGAGGGACGAAAGCCAGGGGAGCGAACCGGAUUAGAUACCCGAGUAGUCC